AUUGAACGCUGGCGGCAGGCCUAACACAUGCAAGUCGAACGAGUGGCGGACGGGUGAGUAAUGUCUGGGAAACUGCCCGAUGGAGGGGGAUAACUACUGGAAACGGUAGCUAAUACCGCAUACCAUCGGAUGUGCCCAGAUGGGAUUAGCUUGUAGGUGAGUUAACGGCUCACCUAGGCGACGCGCCCUAGCUGGUCUGAGAGGAUGACCAGCCAAACUGGAACUGAGACACGGUCCAGACUCCUAGGUGAGGCAGCAGUGGGGAAUAUUGCACAAUGGGCGCAAGCCUGAUGCAGCCAUGCAGCGUGUAUGAAGAAGGCCUUCGGGUUGUAAAGUACUUUCAGCGGGGAGGCGUUACCCGCAGAAGAAGCACCGGCUAACUCCGUGCCAGCAGCCGCGGUAAUUC
rnacentral:rRNA from 1 species